rnacentral:sRNA from 1 species
UACUUGAACAGCCUCAGUUUUCCAAUUCAUGGGAAUAACACUGACCAAAUUACCGACAUUUUGAGCAUAAAUGUGACAACAGAUAAACUACUGGGUCCUCUUCCCUGUGUCCUCCUCCCUCGGUAUAUCAAUGGACAUAGCAAGGACUGGUUCAAGAUAUUAAGAUGGGAUGACUUCAAGAGGCUUCACCAUCUUAAAAACUUGGGUUAACAAGCUUCUCAAUUAAAUGCAAUUGACCUGGGAAAGUUUAAUUUAUCCUUCCAGAAAGACUGGUCAUUCACACAUAGAGGGGGUGAAUCUUUUCUGAUAGUGAACUAUGAAACAGGUUUGACGAAAGUGGAUACUUCAAUGUGGCAGAGAAAGCCUCAGGCUCAUGGACCUCAGGACCAGCAGGGAACAGCUAAGAGCAGUUGGCCUAAAAGAGGAAGUGAAUGGGAUGGGUGGGCAAUGAAGGUUAGGCCUACUGACCAUGGCACUAAUGUCUAAGCAUCCAAACUUUCACCAUCUUCCUUUUUCCAUCCUUCCCUCGCCUCAUUCUUCCAACAGCCUACCUUAUGAUCCUUUUUAAGUAAUGGCAAAUAAAACUGAGGAUAUUUAAAACCGGACAA